UACGUAGGGGGCAAGCGUUGUCCGGAUUUAUUGGGCGUAAAGAGCUCGUAGGUGGUUCGGUAAGUCGGAUGUGAAAUCUCCAGGCUCAACCUGGAGGGGUCAUUCGAUACUGCCGUGACUAGAGUUCGGUAGGGGAGUGUGGAAUUCCUGGUGGAGCGGUGAAAUGCGCAGAUAUCAGGAGGAAUACCGAUGGCGAAGGCAGCCCCCUGGGAUAACACUGACGCUCAUGCACGAAAGCGUGGGGAGCAAACAGG
rnacentral:rRNA from 1 species